GAAAUCUUCAGGAAAAUCUUCGGCUCUUCAAAAGUUUGUCAGCAAAGAAUAUUCCAGAGAUGAAAUUUAUACGACAUCUUUUCAACUUCUUCAACAUAUAAGACAUCACUCCCCUCAAAGAAUCAUGGAGAUUGAAGGUGAGGAUUGUUAGGUUUUGGGAACAACCGGAUUUCAAGGACCAUACAGUAAUCGGCACUCAUGAAUUGAUUUUGGUGGAUGAAAAGGUAAAUAACUCCAAAAUUCUAAUUUUUUUUGUUUUCUUAUUUUUGUCGAUUUUGUCUUUUUAUGGUUUGUGUAAAUUAUUAUUGUUGAUAUUUUUUUAAUAAUGGCUAAUCUAUAUCUAUAUAAUAUACUAAAAGAGAGGAAAUCAAUGUGGUGAUGACAAAUGUCACUCAUUGAUUCACCUCUCUUUUAAUAUAAAACUAAUUGAGUAGAUAAUAUUUUGUCAUAUUUAAUUUAAUGAAUUUUAUGGUAACAAUUACUAAUAUGGAAAAAUCCAUAAAAAAAUUUACAUAAAGAAUGAUAUAAUUUAGGAAAUUGGUAUAUCUAUAUACAAUUUAGUAUAUAUUUACUACGCAAGUUAGAAAAUUAAACUAAGUUAUAUAACUUAGUUAGUAUAUACUAAGAACAAAAAAUAAUCUCAUCACAAAAAAUAAUCUCAUCGGAAAAAUGAUAUUUUACAAGUUAUAUAAUUUAGUAAGUUAGUAUAUACUAAG